UUACGGUCAAAUCACGCUGAAAACACCGGUUCUCGUUCGAUCACCGAAGUUAAGCAUCGUAGAGCCAAGGUCAGUACUUAGAUGGGGGACCGCUUGGGAACACCUGGUACUGUAAG
rnacentral:rRNA from 1 species